UCAGGUACCAAGUGAUUUCUGAGUAAUUAAACAAACAUCAGUAAUCUCUGGGUAUCUUAAC
rnacentral:pre_miRNA from 1 species